AGUGAACGCUGGCGGCAGGCCUAAUACAUGCAAGUCGAACGGCAGCACAGCAGAGCUUGCUCUGUGGGUGGCGAGUGGCGGACGGGUGAGGAAUACAUGGGAAUCUGCCCAGUCGUGGGGGAUAACGUAUGGAAACGUACGCUAAUACCGCAUGCGCCCUACGGGGGAAAGCCGGGGACCGCAAGGCCUGGCGCGAUUGGAUGAGCCCAUGUUCGAUUAGCUAGUUGGCGGGGUAAAGGCCCACCAAGGCGACGAUCGAUAGCUGGUCUGAGAGGAUGAUCAGCCACACUGGAACUGAGACACGGUCCAGACUCCUACGGGAGGCAGCAGUAGGGAAUAUUGGACAAUGGGGGCGAACCCUGAUCCAGCCAUGCCGCGUGAGUGAAGAAGGCCCUCGGGUUGUAAAGCUCUUUUGUCCGGAAAGAAAGCAAUCGGUUAAUACCCGGUUGUUCUGACGGUACCGGAAGAAUAAGCACCGGCUAACUUCGUGCC
rnacentral:rRNA from 1 species